AUAACUCAGCGGUUGCACUUCUGACUUUAUCAACGCGUCUUACGCUGACUUCAAUGCUUCAAUUUCUAACUUUAACAACGCGUCUCUCUUAUUUGUGCCAUCUAUCUCAUUAAGAAGCAUCCCUGAAGAAAAUCUGAACGGUUCUGAUCAUUAUGUUGAGGAUUCAAAACUGCGAUCCGGAAGAAGAUCGCAAGAAAGUUAACGAGGAAAUCAAGACUAGUGUCACAGCUUUUUGUAUCCUUGUUGGCUUGAUAAGACUAGCUCCAUUAGCAUUAAACACAUGGUAUCCCAAUAUCCAGUGAUGGUGCCAAGGAGUUCGUUUCUACUAAUAUACUCUACUCAUUGAAUCAAGAGAUGAUCAGCCUUCUCAGGAUGCUAUUCAAAAUGGGAUUAUAAUGAUGGCAGUCAAAGUUAUCGUUUCCCUCAGCACAACUGUCAGUAAGAUCUCAGUUUUUUCUGAGAGAAGGAUUUUAAAUCAGUUGUUAAAAUAAUUUUCAAUCAUGUUUGUUAUAGAUAACAAAUUUUCUUAGUUAAUCUUUACCAUAGUUAUAAAAUGCAUAAUAAAAAAUUUGUCAUGAUUCCAAA